AACGCAUAUGGCACCUUUUGGUCUUUACUGAAAGGUAUGCCUGUUUGAGAAUCAUUUAUCCCUUUGAUCCUUGUGAUCGCAGAUCCCUGGUCAAGACAUGGACCUUCAUCACUGAUCGUCUCGAAUCUAUGCACGGAUUGUUCGUGACAAAGAUGCGCACUUGUUGCGCUGUUGCUGUUGAUCGAUCAAUCCAUCCCUCACCAAUGAUCUCAAAUCAGGCAAGACUACCCGCUGAACUUAA
rnacentral:misc_RNA from 1 species